rnacentral:rRNA from 1 species
CGGGAUUCUCUUGCCCCGGGCGCGUCGCAGCCCCGGAUCCCAUGGCGCCCGCCGGAGGACCAACUCCAAACUCUUUUUUUCUCUCCGUCGCGGCUCCCGUCGCGGCUCUGUUUUAUUUUUGCUCUGAGCCUUUCUCGGCGACCCUAGCGGGCGUCUCGAAAAUGAAUCAAAACUUUCAACAACGGAUCUCUUGGUUCUGGCAUCGAUGAAGAACGCAGCGAAAUGCGAUAAGUAAUGUGAAUUGCAGAAUUCAGUGAAUCAUCGAAUCUUUGAACGCACAUUGCGCCCGCCAGUAUUCUGGCGGGCAUGCCUGUCCGAGCGUCAUUUCAACCCUCGAACCCCUCCGGGGGGUCGGCGUUGGGGAUCGGCCCCUCACCGGGCCGCCCCCGAAAUACAGUGGCGGUCUCGCCGCAGCCUCUCCUGCGCAGUAGUUUGCACACUCGCACCGGGAGCGCGGCGCGGCCACAGCCGUAAAACACCCCAAACUUCUGAAAUGUUGACCUCGGAUCAGGUAGGAAUACCCGCUGAACUUAAGCAUAUCAA